rnacentral:rRNA from 1 species
UUAAGUGAAGAGUUUGAUCCUGGCUCAGAUUGAACGCUGGCGGCAUGCCUAACACAUGCAAGUCGAACGGCAGCACAGA